UCUUAUGACCUGUUAAGUGACUUGAGUGUGAAAAUCUUUUGUGGCAAACAUCACAUUCAUAAGGUUUUUCUCCAGUGUGUGUUCUCUUAUGACCUGUUAAGUGACUUGAGUGUGAAAAUCUUUUGUUGCAAACAUCACAUUCAUAAGGUUUCUCUCCGGUGUGUGUUCUCUUAUGAACCGCUAAGUGACUUGAGCGUGAAAAUCGUUUGUUGCAAACAUCACAUUCAUAAGGUUUGUCUCCAAUGUGUGUGAGAUUAUGUCUAGUUAGGGUGCUUGUGUCAAAAAAUCUUUUGCUGCAAACAUCACAUUCAUAAGGUUUCUCUCCAGUGUGUGUUCUCUUAUGAACCUCUAAGUGACUUGAGUGUGAAAAUCUUUUGUUGCAAACAUCACAUUCAUAAGGUUUGUCUCCAGUGUGUGUUCUCUUAUGAACCGCUAAGUGACAUGAGUGGAAAAAUCGUUUGUUGCAAACAUCACAUUCAUAAGGUUUUUCUCCAGUGUGUGUUCUCUUAUGAACCGCUAAGGUGCUUGAUUGCGAAAAUCUUUUGUUGCAAACAUCACAUUCAUAAGGUUUGUCUCCAGUGUGUGUUCUCUUAUGUACAGUUAAGUUGCCCAACCAUGAAAAUCUCUUCUUACAAACAUCACAUUCAUAAGGUUUAUCUCCAGUAUGUGUUUUUUUAUGACGAGCUAAGUGGCUCGCUUGUGAAAAUCUUUUUUUGCAAACUUCGCAUUCAUAAGGUUUGUCUCCAGUGUGUGUUCUCUCAUGUCUAGUUAAUGAGCCUGACUGGGAAAAUCUUUUAUUGCAAACAUCGCAUUCAUAAGGUUUGUCUCCAGUAUGUCUUCUUUUAGUUUUACGUCUCACCAAAUUUCCUCCCGUAGAAAAUACCUUCUUAGAAACCUCGCAUUUCCUAGACAUGAUUUCAGCUUUUGAUCUUUUCCCCAUCAGAAAAAUAUCACCCAACUGUUCCCUCGAGUCGUUCUUUAUUAAAUCUUUAUAAUACUUCGGUUCUUACAGAAUUUCUGAUCAUAAAAAUGAGAAUAUUCACAGACACAGUUUGCAAACAAUACGAGUAUCAAAAUAUGGC
rnacentral:lncRNA from 1 species